CCUGCCCCUAGAGGCACUACAGAUGUGACUGCUGUGUCACAUGUGCAUCAGUAGGUGGCAGAGAGGAGAGAGACUAUGUCUACACUGAGCUCAGCGUUCUGACCUGUGAACAUAUGAAAGGUUAGUAGCCUAACAUU